AACUUCUCUCUUUCACCUUUAGCAAGAAGAAAGUGUUUUUCAGCAUGAUAAGUUAGCAGAAUAAUGUUUAGCAAGCCCAAACAAAAAAGUGGCGCUCAAAAGAGGAAGGAUAAAAGACAACUGGAUGAGUGUACUGCUAAACUGAGAAAAUUAGAUCUCAUGCUCAAGCUUCAUCAGAUGCUAGCGAUGUUGACAUCUAGCUCCACGAGUGAAGAGUCCCAGCCGAGACCCCUUUCUCCAGAAUUUGGACUUGAGCAGAGUUGUUAAUGAUUUUGCUGCACAGCAAAUUCAGAAGUGUUAAAUUUCCGGUGUUAGUGAAAUUUGAGCAAAAGUAGAGUUAAUUCUACUAUAUUUGACUUCAGUUGAUAAGUAGUUGGUGUCAAAACUGAGUGUAAAAACAAAGUGUCACUAAAUUAAACCUGUAAGUGUAAUUUUAUAAAUAUUGAUUCUGAACUUCUCACUCUAAACUCCGAUCCUGGGUUUUACACUUGAAGUGUUCAUGUGACCCUGCCCCCACUGCAUACACACACGCGAUUGGCUGAAGCCAGGAGAUCUAUGAGCGCUCCACUGACUGCUGCACGAGGGAUUUUGCGAAUGACCUGCGUUUGAAAAUGCUGGCAAAGGUGGAAUAUGGAGGAGUCACAAAGUAUAUCAAAGUUCCACAAACAGAUGAAAACUUUGAUUUCAGCCAGUUUCUUCAAGAAGGUUUGUCUCCACAUAUUAUAUUAUUAUUAUAUUCAUUUUUGCUGUAUGUACACGUCUCUUGUGUUUUUCAGGUGUUAUGCUGCACCAGAUUUGGGGGGGUUUGACAAAAUGACAUGGUUGAUUAUAUAGCUUAAUCUAAUUUCUUUAUUUCUCCCAGUAACCGAAACAUUUUGUCUGCAGGUUCAACUUGUGACUGUCCUUAGCUUGACUGACACAUCAGAUACUGAGGUUGAUGCAGACAUAUUUGAUGAGCUUAUCAAAUCAGGGGUGCGAAACUUCAAACUUGGAUACCGCAAGCACCCAGUAACAGAUAUUGCUGUUCUUUUGGUUGAAUCCGAGUCAGAAUCAUCUGUACAGCCAGACCCAUCGGCAUCUCCAGCAUCAAUUCCUGUCCCCCCAGUAUCGCCAGCUUCACUGCAAGACUUUUCAACAGCAUCACCAUCUUCUUCCUGUUCAUCAGAGUCUACUAUUAUCCUCUCAACCAAUAAGAACAGGAAGAGGGCCAUGACAGAGCUGGAUCGCAAUGAAGCAAAACAGAAGGUUCAAAGUGUUCUGAGCACAAAUCCAAAGGGUGAAGAAAUCUUCAGAGAGUAUGACAAAACUAAAACGCUGUCAGAUGCAACACGCAAACAAAUGGGCAACAUUCUUGUCGCAGAAAUGAUAGAAUCAUAUGGGUAAGAAAUCAUUUAAUGAAAUGACAAAAGAAAAUCCAACUGGGCACAAAUGUUAUAAAUAUGUUGUUUCAAAAGGAGGAUUCCACCAAGAAGUGUGUGGUCCAGCUUUGCAUUGGGAAUUGUGACCCUUUUUCCAUAUCUCCAAGAUCCUUACUCAAAACAUGGAUAUGUAAGUUUUAAUGUGUCUUUGUAGUCCGAAAAUAUGUUGUAGUGUUUGUAUUAGACUAUAUUUCUGCUUUAUAUUAGGAAUGCACAAUAUUAUUAGCACAACCUUAAUAUCAGCUAAUAAUAGCGUUAAAAUU
rnacentral:lncRNA from 15 species